rnacentral:rRNA from 1 species
GAGCCUGAGAAACGGCUACCACAUCCAAGGAUGGCAGCAGGCGCGCAAAUUACCCAAUCCCGACACGGGGAGGUAGUGACAAUAAAUAACAAUACGGGGUUCUUUAGGAUCUCGUAAUUGGAAUGAGUACAAUUUAAAUCUCUUAACGAGGAACAAUUGGAGGGCAAGUCUGGUGCCAGCAGCCGCGGUAAUUCCAGCUCCAAUAGCGUAUAUUAAAGUUGUUGCAGUUAAAAAGCUCGUAGUUGAAUUUCGGGGUUAGUAGGUUGGUCAUGCCUCUGGUAUGUACUGGUCUCACUGAUUCCUCCUUCCUUAUGAACCGUAAUGCCAUUAAUUUGGUGUUGCGGGGAAUUUGGACUGUUACUUUGAAAAAAUUAGAGUGUUUAAAGCAAGCUAACGCUUGAAUACAUUAGCAUGGAAUAAUGAAAUAGGACGUUCGAUCUUAUUUUGUUGGUUUCUAGGAUUGACGUAAUGAUUAAUAGGGAUAGUUGGGGGCAUUAGUAUUCAAUUGUCAGAGGUGAAAUUCUUGGAUUUAUUGAAGACUAACUACUGCGAAAGCAUUUGCCAAGGAUGUUUUCAUUAAUCAAGAACGAAAGUUAGGGGAUCGAAGACGAUCAGAUACCGUCGUAGUCUUAACCAUAAACUAUGCCGACUAGGGAUCGGAUGAUGUUAAUUUUUUAAUGACUCAUUCGGCGCCUUACGGGAAACCA